GUAUUAAUUUAUUGUCUAUACUUCUACCACGUAGCCUACCCUAUAAUACAGUUUGAAUGCUAUGGAGUAGGAUUUAUAAAUAAAUAAGUCUAGUUAACUUGUACGUUAGAUAUUCAUUAAAAAUGCAACUUUAAGUGAAGUACCUAUUAUAUAGUUAAAUUAAUAAACAACAUUAGGCACGAAGAAUAAAGAAAGGCCUCAAGACAAUUGGGGCGGAGACCAAAGAGAAAUUGUCAAUGGAGAUAUUGCGGAAAUAUAUCCGAGUGGUCAUUAUGAUGCCCUAGAAAAACAAAAACUACAAUUUUGUAAUGCGCGUAACAAUUUUAAGAAAUUAAAAUAUUCAUACAAAAGGACAUGGUUAUAUUUAUAAAUUGGCUUGUUUAAUUAGAUAUAAAAUAUAACUAUAAAACGUCAUCUGAUGGUAAAACUAUCAUUAUCAAACCAUUUAAACAAGUGUUCUAUUUCACUGGAUACACUCAUUAUCUGAGUAGUGAAAAAUCAUGUUUAACAGCAUAGCACAGGAGCAUUUUGAUAAUGUAACACUACUCUCCCUCUUACCUAACUUAAAAGUAGAGUACCUCAAACAGAUUGAUGAAAUCAAACAUUUUGACUAAUAUUCUAAAUUAAUUUUUUAACAUAUGGUACUAUUUGAAAAUUCUAAGUAGGUAGUGGAUUUACCCCCAAAAAUAAGGAUGUGAAUAAAUAACAAAUGCAAAAUUGUUAAGUUGCUUGUUUCAUAUACAUUUCUUUAACUCCUAAAUUCCACAAAAAAUAAUAUAUUCAGAGAUAAUGAGUGUUUUAUAUAUAUAUGUUUAAUCCUAUUUUACUUAUUGAAUAUUAUUUGAAUGCAAGUAAACCAUUACAGCAUAAAUGUCAUCAAACAUUUUUUUCUUUUAAAUCUACACAACACAAUAGAACUUCA